rnacentral:rRNA from 1 species
GUUAGUGGCGGACGGGUGAGUAACGCGUGAGAAUCUGCCCUCAGGAGGGGGAUAACGGCUGGAAACGGCCGCUAAUACCCCAUAUGCCGAGAGGUGAAAUGAAAUUCGCCUGAGGAUGAGCUCGCGUCUGAUUAGCUAGUUGGUAGGGUAAAGGCCUACCAAGGCGACGAUCAGUAGCUGGUCUGAGAGGAUGAUCAGCCACACUGGGACUGAGACACGGCCCAGACUCCUACGGGAGGCAGCAGUGGGGAAUUUUCCGCAAUGGGCGAAAGCCUGACGGAGCAACGCCGCGUGAGGGAUGAAGGCCUCUGGGCUGUAAACCUCUUUUAUCAAGGAAGAAGAUCUGACGGUACUUGAUGAAUAAGCCACGGCUAAUUCCGUGCCAGCAGCCGCGGUAAUACGGGAGUGGCAAGCGUUAUCCGGAAUUAUUGGGCGUAAAGCGUCCGCAGGCGGUCUUACAAGUCUGUCGUUAAAGCGUGGAGCUUAACUCCAUUUCAGCGAUGGAAACUGUAAGACUAGAGUGUGGUAGGGGCAGAGGGAAUUCCCGGUGUAGCGGUGAAAUGCGUAGAUAUCGGGAAGAACACCAGUGGCGAAGGCGCUCUGCUGGGCCAUAACUGACGCUCAUGGACGAAAGCCAGGGGAGCGAAAGGGAUUAGAUACCCCUGUAGUCCUGGCCGUAAACGAUGAACACUAGGUGUCGGGGGAAUCGACCCCCUCGGUGUCGUAGCCAACGCGUUAAGUGUUCCGCCUGGGGAGUACGCACGCAAGUGUGAAACUCAAAGGAAUUGACGGGGGCCCGCACAAGCGGUGGAGUAUGUGGUUUAAUUCGAUGCAACGCGAAGAACCUUACCAGGGUUUGACAUCCUGCGAAUCCCUUGGAAGCGAGGGAGUGCCUUCGGGAACGCAGUGACAGGUGGUGCAUGGCUGUCGUCAGCUCGUGUCGUGAGAUGUUGGGUUAAGUCCCGCAACGAGCGCAACCCACGUCUUUAGUUGCCAGCAUUUAGUUGGGCACUCUAGAGAGACUGCCGGUGAUAAACCGGAGGAAGGUGUGGAUGACGUCAAGUCAUCAUGCCCCUUACAUCCUGGGCUACACACGUACUACAAUGCUACGGACAAAGGGCAGCAAACUCGCGAGAGCUAGCCAAUCCCAUAAACCGUGGCUCAGUUCAGAUCGUAGGCUGCAACUCGCCUACGUGAAGGAGGAAUCGCUAGUAAUCGCAGGUCAGCAUACUGCGGUGAAUACGUUCCCGGGCCUUGUACACACCGCCCGUCACACCAUGGAAGUUGGCCACGCCCGAAGUCGUUACUCCAACCCUUGUGGAGGAGGAUGCCGAAGGUGGGGCUGAUGACUGGGGUGAAGUCGUAACAAGGUAGCCGUACCGGAAGGUGC